GUGUCAGCAGCCGCGGUAAUACGUAGGUGGCGAGCGUUACUCGGAAUCACUAGGCGUAAAGAGCAUGUAGGCGGUUGGUCAAGUCUGUUGUGAAAUCUCCACGCUUAACGUGGAGCGGCCAAUGGAAACUGAUCAGCUUGAGUUUGGGAGGGGGUACUGGAAUUCCCGGUGUAGCGGUGAAAUGCGUAGAGAUCGGGAGGAACACCAAUGGCGAAGGCAGGUACCUGGACCAAUACUGACGCUGAGAUGCGAAAGCUAGGGGAGCAAACAGGAUUAGAAACCCUUGUAGUCC
rnacentral:rRNA from 1 species